CCUACGGGUGGCAGCAGUGAGGAAUAUUGGUCAAUGGACGCAAGUCUGAACCAGCCAUGCCGCGUGCAUGAAGACGGCUCUAUGAGUUGUAAACUGCUUUUGUACGGGGGUAAAUCACGAUACGUGUAUCGGGUUGAAAGUAUCGCACGAAUAAGGAUCGGCUAACUCCGUGACAGCAGCCGCGGUAAUACGGAGGAUUCAAGCGUUAUCCGGAUUUAUUGGGUGUAAAGGGUGGGUAGGCGGUUCUAUAAGUUAGAGGUGAAAUCCCGGGGCUCAACUCCGGCACUGCCUUUAUGACUGUCGAUGUAGAGUAUAGGUGCGGUAGGCGGAAUGUAUGGUGUAGAGGUGAAAUGCAUAGAGA
rnacentral:rRNA from 1 species